AUCUGAUGGUGGGGACAGCUAGCACAAAGUGUCUUGAAUCUCUCCCAAUACUCAUACAAGCUCUCUCCACCAAGCUGCCUAAUCCUAGUUAUGUCUUUUCUAAUAGCU
rfam:Vigna angularis cultivar Jingnong 6 scaffold501_19, whole genome shotgun sequence.